rnacentral:rRNA from 1 species
UACGUAGGGUGCGAGCGUUGUCCGGAAUUAUUGGGCGUAAAGAGCUCGUAGGCGGCUUGUCGCGUCGGAUGUGAAAGCCCGGGGCUUAACUCCGGGUCUGCAUUCGAUACGGGCAGGCUAGAGUUCGGUAGGGGAGAUCGGAAUUCCUGGUGUAGCGGUGAAAUGCGCAGAUAUCAGGAGGAACACCGGUGGCGAAGGCGGGUCUCUGGGCCGAUACUGACACUGAGGAGCGAAAGCGUGGGGAGCGAACAGG